rnacentral:lncRNA from 1 species
CAGCGGAGAAACAGCGUGACAGAGAAGUUCAAACGCGGGGGAAAUGCAGUCAACCCAUAAACAGGAAGAGAAAAAAAAAAAAGCCCAGCUCCCAAGGCAUGUCCUGCCCUUAAUCACCACGCGCUCAGCUGCCCCCGUGCCGCUGUGCUUUCCCCAUUGGAGGCAGUGGAGGUUUUGGUGGCUUGUCCUCGGCUGAGCCUUUGCCCCCUGGUAGCAAGCAAGCUUUCAGGUACCUGCAUCUGCAGCAGCAUCUUUGCCUGCAGAGCAUUUCUAGUUUCCAGCUUGGUGCUGUAGAGAAGUUGGUUUUGUGCCAUCACGCUUCAGGUUUGCUCAUCGUGGUGGUUGCACAUCCCGCUGCGUGUGUGCAUGUAGGGAGGUGGGAUGCUUAGUGCUCCAACGAGCUGGUGCUUGCUGCCUGUGCCAUCCCGGGGGGACGGACCCCUUCCAUUUAGUGCCCAAAGAAAGCUUUCUGUUGGGCUCUGGCACUGUGGUGCAAGGCAAUGGCUGCUCACACUCUCUUUUGGUUGGAUUUCUGGGAUUUUGAGAGAUUUUGUGCAGUAAUUUUUUUUUAGGAAUGAAUGCAUUGAAUUCAGCCUUGUGCAAGGGCUGUGAUUUUAGAAGUGUUGGGGGCACCGUGACAGGAAGAUGAAAGCCAGGAUAAUAGGUUUUCUAGCAGAUUUUGCACACACGUUGCUCUUUUUUUUUUUUGCAAAUAUCGCCACCAAUGGCACCAUUGGAUGGGUUCAAGCAGUGAGCUGGGGAAUCAGGUGGGGAUGGAGCAGGAUGCAUUUCACCAUGCAGUUACAGACCCUCUUCUUCCCAUCCCAGCAGCCUCACAAGGCUGGCUGGAAGCAAACGGUGGUGUGAAAGGAGCGGGGAUGGGGUGGACGAGGCUGAGGGCUGCUGGCGGAGGAGCUGGAGGGCUGAGUCAUGGCCCUGCGCCGUGCCAGCACUGCCCGCGCCGCUGACUUCAGCGCCUGAGAGAGUUCUCCGUGUUUCUCCCUCUUCCCUUUCGGCACAGGAAUCGUUACUCAUUCCGCACACAAUGCCAGCGUUAAGGAAGGAGUGUAAAUGUAAGUCUCAUGAAGCUCCGUGUUUGCUUCGACCCGUGGACCAAAACAGUUGUUUCAGUCAUGCUUACAUCUAUGCAGCACAGCUCAAAAGCACCAUCUUCCUUAUGAGCCCAUCAUUAACUCAGGAGGAAAGAUACAGAAAUGCCUGCAAACAGCUCCCAAAAUGA